CUAUUAUCCCAAUGGCUGGGAUCGGACCUCCGCUGGUUUCUGCCGCAGUGAUAUUCCAACGUAGUGGCUAUCACCGGGUGAGAACUGGUAGAGGUCCGAUCCAGCCGGACCAUCACAAUCCC
rnacentral:pre_miRNA from 14 species